AAGGUGUUUUGAAGGAUAAUAUCCCGUCCUCCCAGGCUUAUGGCCUGGUGUAGGAUCAGAGGGUCAAAGAAGUGGAAUAAUUAUGAAGUUUUAAUGGGUGUAGGGUUAGUUGUCUCGUCAAUUUUUGUCACGAAGUGUAAUGAAAAUAGUAAGCUGAUAAAAAGACAAAUCAGUAGGUGGCAGCAUGCACCAAUAAUAAUUGUAUGCAAACCGCCAUUAUACCGAAGAAGAAGACGUUUUCUUGCUUUACAACAGCCCUUCUCGCAGGAAGUGUGAAUGCCCUAACAUCUAGCACGGUUGCAUUGCUGUAAAAUUCCACUGCGGACGUCGGAUUGAACAUACUUUGGGUUUCACUGGUUCGCUGCACGGACAGCGCAGCGGUAAUCAGGCUGGUAUUUUAUAGGCUACACUUACUGGGCCUCAGACAAUUAAAACUAUCUGGACUCCCGAAGAGGACGUUGUUCCAACAGACUCUCGGGUAGAGUUAGACGAGAACAGAUAACACGAUUCUUGGUGAAUAGGGCUUUAAACGUUUUUACUUUAAUAGAUCAGGUCAAAUCUAUGUGAGAUUAGCCUACAUCACAUUUAUUUGUCACCACUAAAGUUUUGAUAUUGAAAAGGACGUCUGAUUGCUCUGAUCUGGCUGUUUUUAAAUCUGAAUUCUGCAACAAAGAAAGUAACUAGUGUAGGCUAGCUACAGAUGUACUGUCGUGUUUUUAUUUGAAGAAAUAAUAGCUUCCACGAUGGAUCGGGACAGAGCUAGUCCGUCCCCUUCCAACCUGCCGGAGUCCCCUGGUCACAACUCUCCUGGUAGCACCUUACUGCUGGAUCUGAAGAAGGUGUCUGUGAGGCUGGUCGACUGCAGGAAAACACCAGGGCAGAGUGGAACUGUGAGAGAAGGACACGAGGAGGGAGAUUGAGAUCUGAUUUCAUCAAGUGACACCCCUAACUGUCGUUCUCUCAGUGGGAGGAGCUUAUCAUCUGGGGAGCCUCAACAACAUGUUACUGACGUGACAGAGAAGAGUCUCUCAGAUCAGAACACCUCAAGAAACACCAGCAGAGAUGUAGAGGGAA